GCGCACAAAAUCAAAGACAUGAGACUUACAAGCAGCGAAAAACUUCCCCAAGGGAAAUACCAGGCUUGUGUGUGGCUGCUGCCGCCGACAAGCACACGUACACACAUGCAAACACACACACACACUCUCACACACAUGCUGUGGUAAACCACAUUGGCAAGUGCUAUACUAAAUUUCAUGCAGUACUGUUCUAGAGUUCAGUUGAUUCACACACACACAAAGAGAGAGAGAGAGUUUAACUGGACCCGUCAGGCGCUUUUGUUCAUCUUUAAUGUUCCAUCUCCUGCUAAAAUUACAGCGCUAAUCUCAAACACACAAUAGUGCAUUCUUCAGGCAGGAGAGAUAUAACUCAUGGCGACCGUUUCACUACUUGGAAUAGCAUACUAGUGAAAGUGAUGAAAGUGACGUGACAUACAGCCAAGUAUGGUGACCCAUACUCAGAAUUCAUGCUCUGCAUUUAACCCACAGCAGUGAACACACACACACACCAUGAACACACACCUGGAGCAGUGGGCAGCCAUUUAUGUUGCGGCGCCCGGGGAGCAGUUGGGGGUUUAGUCGUGGUAUUGCUGGGCUGAGACUUGAACCCACAAACUUAGGGUUAGGAGUCAAACUCUCUAACCAUUAGGCCAUGACUUCCCCCUUACUAGCAUACUACUUGUACUAUUUUUGCAGUGUACAGUGUAGGGAUUUAUUGAACAAGCAGUUGACAUACUAAAUAUGCAGCUUGGUUGUAGCAUGCUGCAUGUAACACUAUCCCACAAUGCAAUGCUGAAUUUUUAAAAGCAUACUACAUUACUAUUUCUGCCAUAAAAAGUAGUAUGCUAUUUCAAUUUUUUAAAAUGGAUUGCUAGCUUACUGCUUAGUGUGCAGUAUUAAAACUACUAUUGAAACAUAGUUUUAAAUAUUAUGUGAAAAAUGUACAUUGUUCUAUGAUUUGAAACUGUAGUACAACAUUACUCAUUUAUUCCACCAAGUGGUGAACAAUUAUCUUUUGAAAAUAAAAAUAAAUUUUUGAAUCUAAAUAUGCAUAGUCAUAGAUCACGAAUGGCUUUACUUUUGGUCACACUGGAAGUUAAGCACAUUGCAUUGUGGGAUAGAGUCAGGGGCGCCACUAUGGGUUGUGGGCCCCCUGAACAUCAUAUUUACUUGGUAAAAACAGUGUUACGCAUUCCCCACGUAUCAUUCCUUUCUGGAAUGGAAAGAUUAAAUUGAUGUUAAAUGUUCUUCUUGGAACUAUCAAUGCCAAUAAAGAACCUUUAUUUUAAAGAGUGAAGCAUACAGUAUACUCUGAAGAGGAAUAAGUACAAGUGCAGUCUGUAUUUGUGUAUGACAUAAGGAGAUCAGUUCCAUUAGCUGGCCAAAUUUGACUGACAGACCAACUGUUCAAUAGGGAUUUAGAGUCUCAGUGCCUGCUGUUAGCCUUUAAAUGUCAACUAGAGAGCAGCACCAGACAGAACGAGAGGGACAGUUGUGUGCAUUCCAGCACAGAAUCCCAUCUGAAUACAUGUAAACACACACACAGAGUGUGGGAAUUAAAUAGAGCAUGAGUGCAGUGAUUAUUACAUCCAAACACACACUGCACAGACAGAAAGUCUGAAAGACAGAGUGGUUGAUUGGAAUAAAAUGCACAAUGUUGCUUUUUUCAGUGCUUUCUUUUUGUCUAUUUUAUGUUUCAGGCUUCAUGAUUUGGUUUCCUGAGGAAGGAGCCACAUGUGCUGUUGAUUACAGCGCUGAAUGCUAGCGGCUGUAAGUGAACAAGGACCAUUGCAGAGGCAAGAAUUGACGCACGUUCUUUCAGCUGUGAUGUCACAUCCUGUCAGUCACACUGUUUGUGCCCCGGCACACACACACACACACACACACACACACACCUGUCCUCUGUCUCUCCUUUUUUACUGACAACACACACUCAGGCAUCUCAAAGAAACCUCAAGCUCACCUUCCACACAAACACACUGCAUCUGUCUCACAUCCACCUCUCUCAUCUCUGCAGAUAUCACACACAUUCGAAGUCUCACCUUACACACACACACACACACACACGUCUCACGUCUGAUGUUACACAGAUGCAGCUCUGAUUGUUCUCCAGAGACCUCGACACACGCUGACUGAAUCUAAACCAGAGUGUCUUGUUUUCUGUCUUGUGUUUGUUUCAUGGUGCGGACUUUCCACUGACUUUAAUUGCUUUUGUUUUUAGCGAAUUAUAAUUGGUAUACCCUAACCC
ensembl:lncRNA